rnacentral:rRNA from 1 species
UAUUGCUUUAAUAAUUCAUGAUAACUUGACAAAUGCACAGCCUUUAUGCCAAUGAUGUAUCAUUUAAAAUUUUGCCCUAUCAACUUUCAAUGGUAGGAUAGUGGCCUACUAUGGUGGUGAUGGGUGAUAGAGAAUUAGGGUUCAAUUCUAGAGAGGGAGCCUAAGAAAUGGCUACCACAUCCAGAAAAGGCAGCAGGUGCAUAAAUUACCCAAUCCUAACAUAGAGAGGUAGUGACAAUAAAUAACAAUAUUAGGAUUUAUGAGUCUAGUAACUAGAAUGAGUACAAUCUAAAUCCCUUAACGAUGAUCAAUUAGAGGGCAAGUCUGGUGCUAGUAGCCACAGUAAUUCUAUCUCCAAUAGCAUUUAUUUAAGUUGUUGUAGUUAAAAAAGCUAGUAGUUAAAACUAGGGUUAGGUCAUUUGGUCUGCCUCACAGUGAGCACUGAUAUACUUUUCCCUACUAUCGGUGAUGCACUCCUAACUUUAAUUGAUAAGGUUAUUCAUCUGGCACUAUUACUUUGAAGAAAUUAGAGUUCUCAAAGUAGGCCUACACUUGUAUACAUUAGCAUGGGAUAACAUCAUAGGAUUUUUAUCCUAUUGUGUUGACCUUCGGGAUCGGAGUAAUGAUUAAUAAAGACAAUCAAGGGCAUUCAUAUUUCAUAGUUAGAGGUGAAAUUAUUGAAUUUAAAAAAGAUAACAACUAUGAAAGCAUUUACCAAGGAUGUUUUCAUCAAUCAAGAACGAAAGUUGGGGGCUCAAAGAUGAUCAGAUACUAUCCUAAUCUUAACCAUAAAUGAUGCUAACUAGGGAUUGGCAAAUAUUACUUUUAGAACUAUGCCAGCACUUUAUGAGAAUCAAACUCUUUGGGAUCUAAAGAGAGUAUGGUUGUGAGUUUGAAACUUAAAGUGAUUAAUGGAAGGACACCACUAAGAGUGGAGCCUACAACUUAAUUUGACUCAACAUGGGGAAACUUACUAGGUCUAGACAUACUAAGGAUUGAAUGGACUAAGAGCUCUUUCUUAACUCUAUUGGUGGUGGUGCAUGGCCAUUCUUAGUUGGUAGAGUAAUUUGUCUAGUUAAUUCCAUUAACAAAUGAGAUCACAGCUUGCUAACUAGCUACAUAGAGGUGAUCCUUCAUGGCUAGCUUCUUAGAGGGAUUAUGGUCACUUAGGUGAAGGAAGUUUGAGGUAAUAAUAGUCUAUAAUGCCCUUAGAUGUUCC